CCUACGGGUGGCAGCAGUGGGGAAUAUUGCACAAUGGGGGGAACCCUGAUGCAGCAACGCCGCGUGAGUGAUGAAGUAUUUCGGUAUGUAAAGCUCUUUUAGUAGAGAAGAAAAUGACGGUACCUGACUAAUAAGCUCCGGCUAACUACGUGCCAGCAGCCGCGGUAAUACGUAGGGGGCAAGCGUUAUCCGGAUUUACUGGGCGUAAAGGGCGCGUAGACGGGAGGGCAAGUCAGGAGUGAAAUCCUGGGGCCUAACCCCAGAACUGCAUUGGAAACUGCCAUGCUGGAGUGCUGGAGAGGUAGGUGGAAUUCCUGGUGUAGCGGUGAAAUGCGUAGAGAUUAAGAGGAACACUCGUGGCGAAGGCGGCUUACUGGACCGUAACUGACGUUGAGGCGCGAAAGCGUGGGGAGCAAACAGGAUUAGAUACCCUAGUAGUC
rnacentral:rRNA from 1 species